GACGAACGCUGGCGGCGCGCUUAACACAUGCAAGUCGAGCGGGAACCGGGCCUUCGGGCCCGGGGACAGCGGCGAACGGGUGAGUAACACGUGGGUAAUCUGCCCUCGGUACUGGGAUAGCCCGGGGAAACCCGGAUUAAUGCCGGAUAGCCCUUCGAGCCUUCGGGCUCGCAGGAAAAGGUAGCUUCGGCCUCCGACCGAGGAUGAGCCCGCGGCGGAUUAGCUUGUUGGUGGGGUAACGGCCUACCAAGGCGACGAUCCGUAGCUGGUCUGAGAGGACGAUCAGCCACACUGGGACUGAGACACGGCCCAGACUCCUACGGGAGGCAGCAGUGGGGAAUCUUGCCCAAUGGGCGAAAGCCUGAGGCAGCGACGCCGCGUGCGGGAAGAAGGUCCUCGGGUUGUAAACCGCUUUCAGGAGGGACGAAGCCACUCGGGUUAAUAGCCUAGAGGGUGACGGUACCUCCAGAAGAAGCCCCGGCUAACUACGUGCCAGCAGCCGCAGUAACAC
rnacentral:rRNA from 1 species